rnacentral:rRNA from 1 species
AUUGAACGCUGGCGGCAGGCCUAACACAUGCAAGUCGAACGGAAACAUGUCUAGCUUGCUAGAUGAUGUCGAGUGGCGGACGGGUGAGUAAUGCCUGGGAAUUUGCCUUAGUGUGGGGGAUAACUAUUGGAAACGAUAGCUAAUACCGCAUAAUACCUACGGGUCAAAGGGGGCUUCGGCUCCCGCGCUAAGAGAAGCCCAGGUGAGAUUAGCUUGUUGGUGAGGUAAAGGCUCACCAAGG